CCUACGGGUGGCAGCAGUGAGGAAUAUUGGUCAAUGGCCGGAAGGCUGAACCAGCCAAGCCGCGUGAAGGACGAAGGUGCCAAGCAUUGUAAACUUCUUUUGUCAAGGGACAAAAUCAGGCUCGAGAGCCUGACCGAGGGUACUUGAAGAAAAAGCAUCGGCUAACUCCGUGCCAGCAGCCGCGGUAAUACGGAGGAUGCGAGCGUUAUCCGGAUUUAUUGGGUUUAAAGGGUGCGUAGGCGGACUGUUAAGUCAGCGGUAAAAGCCCGGGGCUCAACCCCGGCGAGCCGUUGAAACUGGCUGACUGGAGUGCUGGAGAGGCAAGCGGAAUUCCUAGUGGAGCGGUGAAAUGCGUAGAUAUUAGGAAGAACACCAGUGGCGAAGGCGGCUUGCUGGACAGUAACUGACGUUGAGGCUCGAAAGCGUGGGGAGCAAAUAGGAUUAGAUACCCGAGUAGUC
rnacentral:rRNA from 1 species